rnacentral:rRNA from 1 species
CCUACGGGAGGCAGCAGUGGGGAAUUUUGGACAAUGGGCGCAAGCCUGAUCCAGCAAUGCCGCGUGCAGGAUGAAGGCCUUCGGGUUGUAAACUGCUUUUGUACGGAACGAAACGGUUCGCUUUAAUACAGUGGGCUAAUGACGGUACCGUAAGAAUAAGCACCGGCUAACUACGUGCCAGCAGCCGCGGUAAUACGUAGGGUGCGAGCGUUAAUCGGAAUUACUGGGCGUAAAGCGUGCGCAGGCGGUUUUGUAAGACAGAUGUGAAAUCCCCGGGCUCAACCUGGGACCUGCAUUUGUGACUGCAAGGCUAGAGUACGGUAGAGGGGGAUGGAAUUCCGCGUGUAGCAGUGAAAUGCGUAGAUAUGCGGAGGAACACCGAUGGCGAAGGCAAUCCCCUGGACCUGUACUGACGCUCAUGCACGAAAGCGUGGGGAGCAAACAGGAUUAGAUACCCUGGUAGUCCACGCCCUAAACGAUGUCAACUGGUUNUUGGGUCUUCACUUGACUCAGUACGAAGCUAACGCGUGAAGUUGACCGCCUGGGGAUCGGCCGCAAGGUUGAAACUCAAANAGAGUAGAGGCGUGAGACGUAGCGACGGACGACGACGAGGGAGGAGG